CUACCGUGAAAACUGCCGUGUAAGGAAUUCGACAAUGGUCCUGGCGAUGCUGGCGAUGCAGUCAAAGGAGAUUUGGAUCUAACCGAUUCCGUCCUUGACCUGAAAGUAAAUCGAUUAUAUGCUGCUUAUGUGCGAAGCUCACUUUUAUCGAGCGUGAAAGAAGAAACAGUGCGACGUUCAGCGUGAAUAAGCUCGCUUAAAGCGAUCUAUCGAAUAUAUGGGAUACCUAAUUAAUUGACACGAUCGUUCUAAAUACAAAGAGAAAUUCAAAAAUAAUCGAAAAAAUAUAUAAAUGAUUAGAAUGAAACAGAGCGAGAUGUAAGCAUUACAACGUAUACGUAGAAGCAUACAAGAAGGCAAAUGAUCGAAGAAAGCGCGCGCGAGGUCGGUCGAUCUUGAUCUUGCGGAUCGCACAAGUAGUCAUUACGACAUGCGGAAUGGGUCGAAGCAAUUUAUGACGAGGAUAUCUAAUGCGCUAUCUAAUAGUAUUUCUAAACUAUUUUCCGGAGUAUCCAGUAUUCAGCCGGGAUAAUCUCGCGUUUAAGAAGCGGAGAGAAAGCUGAAAAUUUCAAUGUACGACAACGAGGCGGUGGAGGACACGUCGUUCCUCAAGAAUUACGAGAAGUCUCCCGUACUCUCUUCGCCCAUGUUGUUCAACACGCUUUUACGAUCGACGCUUUUACUUCCUCCUUCCCUACGAGCCUUUCCUUCCUUCUCUCUGUACCACUCUAACCACGGUCAUGGUCGUCACUGAAGACCUUCCUUCCGCGCCAGUUCAUCGACCGUCCCAUUCCCAUCUCGAGAUUAUUUAAUAUUAUUUAAUAUUAUUAUUUAAAUAUGAAAAAACAAUUUGUAAUAAUACAAAACAUA